GUGAGAGCUUGCUGUACGUAAUUUGGCUGCUAUGUUUCCUCGUUUACAACAGUAACUAUUCUUCAAAAUACUUCAUUCAGUUGCUGUAAGCCGUGACUUUUAACCAAUAAUCCAGACACGUUAUAGGUAUGGACCAGUCCCUUGUAUCAUCUCCAAGCAAGUGAAAGUAUCCAAGGAAGUUCAAAUCAAGCAGCAGCACAUCCUGACAGACCAAAAGAUCACACCGUAGCAUCUCCUUGGCUUUUGUCUGCUGUUGCAGCUUUAUGACCUCAUUCAUCAGAAACUGUGUCAGACCCUCAUGUCCUUCUUCCACUGCAAUACAGAACAUGUAUUGCAGAGUGAGGUACUGCCAACAUGUCCACCAUUACCGCAGAGCAAUCGUUGGCUCUUCCAAAAGCUAUCUCCUCAACCUCUGAGAAAGUGAAUACGGAACUCUCAGAAGAAGCAUUGGAAAGGCUUAUGUGAUUACUUAGAAUUAAGUACCUUCUGCUUGCAAACAGGGCUAUGUUACAAUAUUUUCUAAAUUAUUCCAAGUGGCCAUGUUAAUAGAACUCAGCUCCUUUUGCUGGACAUGCCAUGCAUGAGUGAUUCUGUUUGAAGCCACAUGUCAUACAACUUAACGUGGUCAAUGACACUGAUUGGUGGGCUUUCAGGAGGUAGAUAGCAAUUCUUGGGGGAUAUCCAACCAACCAUAUCAGAAUAAUUCCUGAUGUUUCCUCGCAAUAUGGCUGAUUUUGGGCCCUGAUGACUGCGGAGUUAGUGAAUGAGAUAGCUUGUUCCAAUGUUAAAUCCUUCUUGAAUUGAAGAAAAUCUGACACCUUCUCAUCCGUCACACCAACUACUAUACUGUCUCUAAUCAAUUCACCCUUCAAAGCUCCAACCCACAAUAUCCUGCUACAUGAUAUAAAUCUGUUAAGAGAACUUAUCAGUUCUCCUGAAUGAUGAAAUUGCUGAUUGAAUCUUGUCUGUUUUAUCACCCAAUCUCUAUUGGCACAUAAGUUUUCAUCACUUGUAUUCAUCAGCUAUUGGAUCCACAACAUAUAAAUGCUGAUUGGAUUUUGCUGUUCUUUCACAUGGCUCUGUAGCAAUGAAAUUACUGUUUCCAGAGCUCUCACUUCUGACCUUGUUGUGGAUCAUCUGCAUUAUCAAAUGGUUGAUGUAAUGGCAAGGUCUCUACCAGAGCUGCCAUCCCUGCAGACUAUCAUGCCUGACUGACCUGAGUGAGUACUUGGGUUUUUCCUUGUUACAGUCAAAGAGUUCUACUCCUUUGUUUUUCUUCUCCAGAGUUUGCUGGUUCUGGCUAGGUUUCAAAGUCUUCUGAAGUUGUUUUUUGCUGUCUUCAGAGCUUUCCCUUUACAACUCUGUCCCUUGCAAUCUGUUUUAACUUCAGAGCUUGGCUCUGGAGGAUUUUUUUUUCUCCUAGCUGCUACGAUAUUUUAUUUUCUGUUUUAAGCCAAUACUGCGACCUGCACAUUGAUAUAUUGAUCUGGGGUAUCUCAAGCUGUGCGUAUCUGUACAUACAUGGUCACUGAGGCUACUUGCUCCUUAUCUCUAAGUAAGGGUCUCAACUCUGAAACUGCUAAAACACUCCUUUAUUUACAUGUGUACAUAGUAGAUUCUCAAAUAGAGAUCUCUAGUGUCAUGUCCAAGACUUCACUCUUCACACACUCAUUCUAGACUGGUGUCUUCUUUUACUGAUGUUAGAGUCAUAUGAUCAGUCACAUCAUUGAGAUUUAUCAUUGUCAAUUGCAAUAUACUACAAAAAAUACAGGAAUGAACUGUACAAGUUUUGAUUUUGCAGCAAAGACACUACAGAACUGGUGAUUCACUUGUAAGUAAAUCUUUGAUUCAACUUCAACCAGAUAGAAUAUAGGAGUUUCAACAAAGAUCUGGUUUGACUCUUGUUAAGUAAUUUGUUUUUUAUACUGUAUGUCCCUUCAGGUGAAAUUAGAUUUUCCAAAUAGUUUCCAAAAUGAGCUAUUGAGCAUAUUGUCAGGAGUCCAACAAAUGUUACAAUUGUAUUGAUUUGCUGUCUCUAUUGUAGUUUCACUCAAAGAUGAAAUUUGGGAAUGUCCCACUUUGUUCUUCCAUUAAAAGUAAUUAUAACAGUGAGUUGAGAUUACUGCCUGAAUAACUGGGGUGUUACCACGUUGUCUCAGAAGAUGGGCAAGAGUUAUUGAUAGAGAUAAGAUAGAAAAUGCUUUACUGGCAUUGAAGUAAGUAUGAGUUGACAACAGAAUAAAAAUGACCCACUUCAAAUUAGAGAAAAAUAUAAUUAAUUAUAGAUCACAUUGGCAGACUUUAAACAUGAUCUAUAUUUUUUCAAUUCAUAUAUUAAAUGAAUGGUCACAGUGGAAAAAUUGUAAUAUGUGAAUCAGGUUUUCCAUUUUUGAGACAUUUGGACUGAUUCUUAUAGAUCUUUACAGCAUAAAAGGAGGCUAUUCAGCCUGUUAUGUCCA